GUUCAAUCAGGACCACCUCUCCUCAGUCCUGAAAAAAGUCCCACUCCUGAAAAAAGUCCCACUCCCAUCAGCUUUGUUGUAGACUUUACAUACGUAUCAUGACAAGAAGCAUCCACCAAUUUUUCACAAAGCCUAACCAAGAAAAUAGGAAUAUAGCCAUGGAUAUCUAUCUAUUUAACUAUUCAUUAAAAAAUGGCAAUCCUUAUUCCUCGCAGGUUGCAACAACAAUGAUAACUCUGAUCAAUUGCUAAUCUUCCAUAUCAAGUGUGAGUGCCAGCCCGAAUUACAAAUUAAAUAUAUUCUCAAAACAAAUUUCCAACUGGCAGCAAUCCCUCCAAUUCAAGAAAGGAACAAGAAAAGGCACCAGUUCAUCUACAGUGCAAGAAUGGAAACAAGAUUACUUAAUGGGCCAAGCUUUUUGCCCUUUUUGUUGCUGUUAUUCGCCAAAAAUUCAAAGCCGCCCCACCAGGUGAAAUCAACCACAAAAGGCUAAAUCAGAGACAGAGAGGGAGGGGGGGGGGGAAGCAUCCCAAUCCACAAGCAAGAAAUCAAAAACCUCAAGAUCCUCCGAAAACCAAACAAAAACUGCUUAGAAAGAGAGAGAGAGUUCACAUUUAUUGCUGUUUCAGUCGCUUCUUGCUCUUUUCCGUCUCGUGUCCAUCGCCAUUUUUAAUUGACGUCCCAAUCAAAUAAAAAUUAGAUACACAAAACCGAAGUCUCUCUCUCAUUUGGCAAUGCCAAAUUGCCAAUGCCGAUGCCAAUCAACUAAAGGACAAUAAAAAUAGAGGUAAGAGAGACAAUUAAAACAUAUUAUUCAUGGCAACAGCUACUGCUACAACCACAACUACUGCUUCAACCACAACUAGAGCUCACCUUAAAGUUCAAACUCAGCCCACCAAGCCCAAACGCCGCAAGUGCCGUGAAACCACCAUUUCCUCCUCCGCUGCUGCCACAGCUAAUUCUAGUAGUUCUGACGCUGCUUCUGGUUCUGGGUAUUGUUCACAUAGCCAAAGCCGGAAACUUGACCAUCCCACCAUUGUUUCCGCUGAUAACUCCUGGAGCUGUCUUGCUUCCAAACCCACUUCUGCCCCACCUCCCCCACCACCAUCUCCGCCUCCGCUACCCCGCCGUUUAACCGUGAAGGAAUCUGACCCCGUUCUUGAUUCGCCAUCAACCUUCAGGUUCCGCUUCUCUCCGGGAAGUCUAUCGCCAGUCAUGGACUUCACUCCCACCUCAGCUUCCACUAUUACCGCCACAACAACCCUAACAAAUGGCCACCACUCUCCUCAUGAACCUUCUUCUUUCCCUUCGAGUUUCACCAAAUUUAACUCUGCACUCACAGCUGGUCUUCUAAACCCGAUGUCGCCCCCGCCGGAUAAGCCCCGAUCCAGUCCGACGCUUUUCGAGAUGAUGGCGAGCGAGCCCGAAAUGCAACCCAGAACCCAGAUCCCGAUUAACAAUGCUAACAUCAAUGUUCGAAGCUCGCAAAACUCCCAAUUGUCUGUUCAAGAUAAACAGACUUUAAUCAUGCAGCGAAUAGCUGACAUUUUGGGAAACAGGAGCCCUGGUAACCAGUUCAAUGAUGCGUCGACUAGUGAUGUUAAGCUGACAUUGAGUUCCAAAGAUGGAAUUAGCGUGUCAAUGAGCGUCCACAGACAGAUCCUGGUGGCUCACAGCAGGUUUUUCGCUGUGAAAUUAUCGGAUCGGUGGGCCAAGCAGCAGCGUUCGUCGGUGCCGUAUGUGGUGGAGAUUGCCGAUUGCGAUGAUGUCGAAGUUUAUAUUGAGACUUUAAGGUUAAUGUAUUGCAAGGAUCUGAGGAGAAAGCUCAUGAAAGAGGAUGUGAGUAAGGUUCUUGGUAUUUUGAAGGUUUCUGCAGCAAUUGGGUUUGAUGCUGGGGUCUUAUCUUGCUUGGAGUACUUGGAAGCUGCUCCAUGGGCUGAGGAUGAAGAAGAGAAGGUGGCCUCACUGUUGUCAGAGCUUCGCCUUGAAGGAGUUGGAGCAGGAGAGGUUCUUAAGAGGGUUUCAGUAGAAGUAACUAAUGGAACAGAAGAGAGUCGUGACAACGAUGAAGUGCUUCUCAAGCUUUUGCAUGUAGUUCUUGAUGGUAAAGAUGAGAAAGCUCGGCGGGAGAUGAAAGGGUUGGUGUCGAAGAUGCUUCGUGAGAAUUCUUCUCAGAAUGAUCUUCGAAAGGAAUCCUUGUACUCAGCUUGUGAUGGGUGUUUGCAAUUGCUUCAUAACCAUUUUCUCCGUGCAGCAGAAGGAGAUUUGGAGGAUAUUGGUCAGAUUGCACGGCAAGCAGAUAACCUGCAUUGGAUUUUGGAUAUUUUGAUUGACAGACAGAUUGCUGAAGAUUUUCUGAAAACCUGGGCAUCUCAGUCUGAAUUGUCUGAUGCACAUUCUAAAAUUCCUGCUGUAUAUAGGUAUGAGGUUAGCAGAGUUACAGCAAGGCUGUUUGUUGGGAUUGGAAAGGGCCAACUGUUGGCUUCAAAGGAAGUGAGGUGCUUGCUUUUACAGACAUGGUUGGUGCCAUUUUAUGAUGAUUUUGGGUGGAUGAGGAGGGCAUCUAAAGGCCUUGAUCGACAUCUAAUUGAGGAUGGUCUUAGUAACACAAUUCUAACUCUACCUCUAGCUUGGCAGCAAGAGAUUUUACUGGCUUGGUUUAAUAGAUUCUUGAACUCUGGUGAAGACUGUCCAAAUAUACAAAGAGGAUUUGAGGUUUGGUGGAGAAGGGCUUUCUGGAGACGGAGUGGUGACCAGGAAAGGACAAGGCCACUAAGAAUCACGACUGCAACCAUUGAGAAUUCAUGAAAAGUAAUAGAAUUCACAGUGCUGUAUAUCGUUCUCUGAGGGGUCAGUAGUGAUCAGUGCCUCUACCUCAGUCCAUUCAAAAUCCCUAAACAGGUCCCGUAAUCCACUUAUCUUCCCUCCUUGCCAGUGCUUAUUUCCCUCUUUCUCAAUCUCGCUCCUUCAAGCUCUCACACCUCUGUUGCUGUGGUUCUUUUUGUGGCCCCUCGCUUGCUGCUGGUCACCUCAUGCGCCUCUGUGGCUGCUGGUGUUUCUGUCUUGCUCCUCGCUCAUUGCUGGUGCCUACUGCCUAAUGAUUUCCUCAUUACAUGUGCACCUGCUGCAUGUUCUCUUAAUUCGGGUUCUCAGUUGAUCUUAAUUUCUGCUUGUGAACAAUGGGAAUGGUGUGAUUGUGAAUUUAUGAUAUACUUUAGAACAGGCCUAGAUAUGGGACUGAGUUGAUCAUUUUUCUUUGUGAUUUGUGACCAUUUGAUGAUUAAUCCAUAUUUUUUUACCAUUUAACUUUAAUUUCUGUCUUUACAUUUUAGUCUAAUUUGAGGGUUUUGAUACCAGGUUUUCCUUUGUUUCUUAUUUUCUGGGCUUGUCACGAUAUGGGAAAUCGGGGUUACUAAUAUAUAAUUUUAGCUAGCUUCUGAACUUGGGGUUGCUGAGCUAUAAUUUGGAAAAUUGGGGUCAAUAAUGUAUAAUUUUUCUGUUGCCCUGGAUUAUAAUGAAUUGCUAUAUUAGAGAAGAUGAGCAAGUUUAGUAAUAGAGAAUCAGCAUUGCUAUAUUAGCACAAGAUAUAGAGCUGUUGGUAAUAAGCAAUAAAUAGAUGCCGAUAUAUUUCUGGUAUUAUGGAGCCAUUAGGCAGACCAGGGUUUUGAAAAAAGCUGCUAUUUAGGUAUCUAGUAACAGCACUUUCUCAUGAAGCAGACCAAUAUUUAAAAAGUAUUUACUUUCCCAUAUAUGGCUGAUUAUGCAUUUAAUAAAUAAUACAAAUUGUCCUUAUGCUUAGAAUAGAAUGCAUGAAAAGAAAUGUGAAUUCAGUUCCUAAUCACAAACUUA
rnacentral:misc_RNA from 1 species